CGGCCAGUCAAGUCCGUUGGGAAAUCCACCCGCUCAACGGGUGGGCGUCCAGCGGAAACUGACUGGCUUGGGACCGGAAGACCCGAGGGGUACGUCCGGGGUAGGAGUGAAAUCCCGUAAUCCUGGACGGACCGCCGGUGGCGAAAGCGCCUCGGGAAGACGGAUCCGACGGUGAGGGACGAAAGCUAGGGUCUCGAACCGGAUUAGAUACCCGGGUAGUCCUAGCCGUAAACGAUGCCCGCUAGGUGUGGCGCAGGCUACGAGCCUGCGCUGUGCCGUAGGGAAGCCGUGAAGCGGGCCGCCUGGGAA
rnacentral:rRNA from 1 species